rnacentral:lncRNA from 1 species
AGCAGGCUAUUCAUAAUAGCUGUUUCCUUGUUGAAACAAUUGAGGAGUGAGCUGAGUGAUACUACGGCAAAUAAUCUGAUUGUACAGAAUGUUGCAUACUCAGUCUGCAACUUGCAUAUGUUGAUUAGGCAAUCGACCUCCACACAUCAGUUUUGGUCUAGCAUUAGUUCUGAUCGUGGUGCUUUCCUUGAGGGUUUUGAAUUGCUUGGUUCAAGAAAAGCAAAAAUAUAUUUCUCCUUUGUACUUCAACAUCUAGUGAUGUAUCUGGAUCUAGCCUCGACACCAACGAAGAGCCUACAUCUUUGUUAGUUUCGUCAAUCCUAAAGAAGAUGGGAAGAAUUGCAAUGCAAAUGCAGGAUACACAGGUAAGCUCCAUUACAUCAGCCAAGUCAUUCCCUUGUAUGUUUCUCAGGAUGGUGGCUUGCAAUUCAUAUGUAUUACUUAUUUUUCAUCCAUAUGCAGAUAAAGAACGUGUUCAAUUGCUUCAAUAUGAUUUCAUCAGCUCUUGGUCCUGAUGAAUCACUAACCUAUGCUGAUCACCUCUUGGCCCCAUUGUAUAAAGUUUCUGAAGGAUUUGCUGGGAAAGUUGUUAGUGGUAUGUUAAUAUUCCUGUCUUGGUAUUGUUCAUUAUUUGUUUUCAGCAUAUCGGAGGUGUGUAGGCAAGUUCAGUGCUUGGGCUUGCCAUCUGUCUGAGUACCGUUCUUUUGUUGUGGUUUCAGAUGAAGUGAAGCAACUGGCCCAGGGGUCCAGAACAAGUUACGUGACCUGAUUGGUUCCGAGAAAUUUGUUGAAGUCUACAAGAGCGUUCGGAUGGGCCUGAAACAGAAGCGGGACGGUAGAAAGCAGGCACAGAAGAUUGUUGCAGCCGUGGACCCAGAACGCAAUGCCAAGCGAAAGCAGCGAAUGGCAGCCANNNNNNNNNNNNNNNNNNNNNNNNNNNNNNNNNNNNNNNNNNNNNNNNNNNNNNNNNNNNNNNNNNNNNNNNNNNNNNNNNNNNNNNNNNNNNNNNNNNNUUUAGUGAAGAAAGUUCUUCUUCAACAUAUGGAUGUUCUUAUCCAUAGUCUCCAUGAUUUGUUAAUCAUCGCAAAGAGCUCAACAGUACUCACGCCAUCACUAUGUAAUACUACUGUGCAGAAGCAAACUUGACCACUUCAAUAUACUAAAAUACUUCUUUCACUGUACUUGUUCAUGCACCGGGGAAUGUGAUCGUAUAUUUUUAAAAAGGGCAGACCUAGUGCUGGAGGCUCUCAUAUGAGUGGGAUCUGGGAAUGGUAAGCAAGGCAAGCCUCUCCGCAAAUGCGGAGAGGUUGCUUCGAACCCACAGUCUGGUGACUAAGUGAGACAGUUCUCACCCUGCACUAUGCCUGCCCUACUAUUGAAGAAAUCAAAUGCAUAGUUUAUUGUGAGUUUCACUCUACCCCCAAUUAAAUGCCUUGAAGGAAGAAGAUUAUUUGUAGCAUUCUAUUUAAUUGGUUAUGGAUGGUGAUUUCACAGUGAGUUUGCUUUGAACUAUUUGCUUGGUUAGUGCACAUUUUUUGGGCUAUGGACAAGCACAGUCUAUCAAAUGAGAGUGAUCUUAAAAAUUACCAAUAUGUGAGUCAUUUAAUUUAUUGUCCAUGAUAUAAAAUGUAUUUGUGGAUCUAAAACUGUUAAAAAGAAUCACACCGUGGAUAUUAGCCUUUUAUAAUGUUUUGUUCAUCUAUUAUGGUGGUUAAACAUCUCUUAUGAGAGACUCAGGACUUCAGUGACAUUUUUUAGAUGUAUCUGUUUUAUCAAGCAAGCGUAUAAAUUUUCUUAGACUCUUCAUUGCUUGGGCCGAUCCUCUCUUUAAAAUUUUUGUUCCACAUUGCGUCACAUUAAUCUCUUCGGACAUGUUUACAGCAUAUUUGGGAGCAUAUGCAUGAGACUUAAUAAGCUUGAAUGAAUUUCCUGCAUUCUUAAUAUAUACAGGAGAUCUGGUACAUGGCUUGGGCAACGUGAACUUAGGCUGUUCAAAUUAUUGCUAAAUUACAUCACAGAUCCCUCAGCUGCUGAUAACUUCAUAGACCUUAUUCUUCCAUUUUUCAGCAAGAAAGAUUUGAACUCCGGUAAGCCUUUUAUUGAUUAGCCUGCAUAUCAAAUUAUUGUUCUUUUUUUUUCUUUGCAAAUGCCCAACCUUGACAUGGUAUGGCCUUUUUGUCUCAUCUUUUAUAUCACAGACGAUUGUUUGGAAGCACUAUGUGUUGUGAGGGGAAUAAUUCAAAAUCUGAGAUGCAAAGUAUCUGAAAAAGUUCUAAAUGCACUGACCCAUUACUUGCAAUUGUUGGAUUGGAACUGCGACUAUGUAUCUGUGAUAUUUAUGCUGGGUUGUCAUUGAAUGAUCCUUCGAUGUUGUUUCUGGUAAUUAUCACUCUAUUGUGAUGUCAAUUAUGUAAACUUCGCCAUGUUGCCUGUUCCUGUUUCACAGUUUCUUGUGGCAAUUUGCAUUUUUAACAGGCUGGGUUAAUAGGAGAUCUGAAUGCAGUUUCAGCUUCAGAACUUGGUGAACUAGAUUAUGACACAAGACUUAACACCUAUGAUAAGGUUAGGCCACAAUUGUUUCUUGGCUUGACAGAAGAGCAUGUGGGCGCCAUAUUAUCUCAUUGUGUGUAUGAUAUGUCAUCUGAAGAAUUAAUUUUGCGGCAAAGUGCAUCUAGGGCUCUGCAGUCGUUCCUGGACUUUUCCGCCUCAGUUAUGAAUAAUGAUGUGUCCAAAUACUCUAUUGAUGAUAAAUUUAGAGAGAAUAAUACCAGAAGCAUUUGCACGAUGGGCUGUAUUCAGAAGAUAUUGGAAAAAACUUAUCUGCACAAUAUGGGAGUAGCAAUGACUAAAGAUGUAUCAAUUCAAAAGGUGCGCAUAUAUAUAUUUUUAUUUUGUAGUCUAUCAAACUGUUGGUUGAAGGGCUGCAAUUGAUGUUGUAUUCAGGAAUGGAUUAUUUUACUUAGGGAGAUGGUCUCCAAUUUUAAUCAUUUAGCAUCCUUAAGCUCAUUUAGGCCUCUCUGUAAGGUGGAUAUAGAAGAGGAUUUUUUCCACAACAUAACUCAUUUACAGGUAAUGUGCUUGGUUCACUUAUACCAAAGGUCAGAUGAUGGACUGUAAAGCUCAUUUAUAUUUACUAAUGCAGGCUGGUAAAAGAUCAAAAGCACUGUUGCUUUUUAGACAGGGAAUCAAGGAAAACAACUUUUCAGAGGUAAAUGAUGAGAGAAUACUCUAGUUGAUGUCAGUAUGAUAUGUGCAUAUUUGGAAAUUAAUUUGCUGACAGUUGAUCAUUUGUUUCAUCUGUUGAAUUGAAAAGAUAAUACUUGUUUUGUGGACCCGUAUGCUAGUACCAGGUUUUUUUCUUUAAAAAAUAGAUACUUUGUCUCUUUGCUUUGUCAAGCUAGUAUGGCUUCGCAAAUGUUUAUAUAAUAUUGCUGAAGGGAUGUGAGCCUAUUUUCCCUUUACCUUAAAGGUCCUAGGAGAUUGGUGUCACAUGCCAGCUUUUCUUUGAAACUGUGCAACAGUGUACUGAUCUUGCAUCACAGGCAACAGAAAUUUGUCUUCUAAGGGCAGUACAAUUCUGUCUUGCAAUACUGUGUUAACAAAGGAAAUCUUAAUAGUUGAUGACUACGGGUGUGUUUGGUUGGAUGUACAUGGUGGAUGGGAGGGGGCGGCCACAGUUUCUAUAGUGUUUGGAUGAGAGUCACGUAGGGGCGAGGUAAACACAAGAGUAGUUUUUGGUGGCGACGUGAUCCCAAAAAAUCGAGGGACGGUGUCGCCCUCGUCUCAUCCACUUUGACCUCAAACCAAACACAUACUACAAGAAUGUUAAUGUGUUAUGGCCAUCUAGUUUGUUAGCACUCAGCAGUCAGCACUUAGAAAAAUGAGAUGUUCAAAGAGUACAUUUUUCUGUAAAGAAAAACACUUGCUGCUACAGUGUAUUUGUUUCCACCAUUGUUUCUUGCAUUUGCAGAAAAUCUACCAGCAAAAUUGAUGGCAUUUUCUUUUUGUUUAGAUGCAUUUUUUACUUUACAUAAAAAGCAUUCUGCACAUAAAUCACAGCUCACCAAUCUUCGUUUCAUGCACCUGUUGCAUAACUAAAUAGUAACUUGUGCAGGUAGUGUCCAGUGAACUGAACUCGUUAUAUUCUCCGGUUUAUUUUUUCAUUAACAUCACUUCUUGUGCUUUCAUUUAGGAUAUCACUAUGAAAGUCUUUGUUCCACUAUUUUUCAAUAUGUUUUCUGACGUAAAAGCUGGGAAUUGUUUCUUGCAUUUGCAGAAAAUCUACCAGCAAAAUUGAUGGCAUUUUCUUUUGUUUAGAUGCAUUUUUUACUUUACAUAAAAAGCAUUCUGCACAUAAAUCACAACUCACCAAUCUUCGUUUCAUGCACCUGUUGCAUAACUAAAUAGUAACUUGUGCAGUAGUGUCCAGUGAACUGAACUCGUUAUCUUCUCCGGUUUAUUUUUUCAUUAACAUCACUUCUUGUGCUUUCAUUUAGGAUAUCACUAUGAAAGUCUUUGUUCCACUAUUUUUCAAUAUGUUUUCUGACGAAAAGCUGGGAAAGGCGAACAAGUCAGAGAUAUAUGUUUGGAUACACUAUCUGCUGUUGCUGCCAAAGUGCAGUGGGAACACUAUAGAACAAUAUUGAAGAGAUGCUUCCGAGAAUUAAACCUUAGACCUGAUAAGCAGAAGAUCAUAUUGAGGCUGAUUUGUUCCAUAUUAGAUGCAUUCCAUUUCAUGAAACCUGCAAAUGAUGCCUCAGGAAAUUCUGAUGCUUUGAGUGAAGAUAUUGAUUCUUCCCUUACAUUCUCUUUGGUCACAGUCUCUUCUGAUAAGCAACAGUACAUGCAAAAGGUAGUGUUUCCACAGGUUCAAAAGUUGUUAGGAUCAGAUCCAGAGAAAGUCAACGUCAACAUAAACCUGGUAGCACUGAAAAUACUUAAGUUGCUACCGGUGGAUUAUUUUGAGUCCCAACUUUCAAGCAUCAUUCAUCGAAUCUGUAACUUCCUCAAGAAUCGUCUUGAAAGCAUACGUGAUGAAGCUAGGUCUGCUUUAGCUGCUUCUGUUAAGGAACUGGGGAUUGGGUAUUUGCAGUUUGUGGUCAAGAUAUUAAGAGCUAUACUUAAAAGAGGUUUUGAGUUACAUGUUCUGGGCUACACACUUCAUUAUUUGUUGUCAAAAAACAUUACUGCUGAUAUGUAUGGUAGGCUUGACUACUGUUUAGAAGAUUUGUUGGCAGUGGUUGACAGUGAUUUACUUGGAGAUGUUGCAGAACAAAAGGAAGUUGAAAAACUUGCCUCCAAAAUGAAAGAGACAAGAAGAGAAUGUCGUUUGAGACUCUUAAGCUGAUUGCUCAAAGUAUUACAUUCAAGACCGAUUUACUGAAGAAGAUAAUCUCACCUGUUUCUUUACAUCUUCAGAAGCAACUUACUCCAAAGUUGAAAACCAGACUUGAGAUGAUGCUACACAACAUAGCCUUAGGGAUUGAGUGCAACUCAUCUACUGAAACAUCAAACUUGUUUAUCUUCGUAUAUUGUCUUAUUGAGGAUACUAUUACAGGAAGCAGAUCUGAAUGCAAAGAGAAUACACAAUCUAGUCCUGAUCAAGACAGUACUGUAAGAAAGACCUUCCUGGGACUAGGUGAGAGUGGAUCACAGAAUUCUUAUAUACUUACCAAGUUUGCACUUGACUUACUUCGUAAUCGUCUGAAGAGCAUCAAGCUUGACAAGGAAGAUGAACAACUCGUGAAGAUGUUGGAUCCUUUUGUUGACCUUCUGCGAAAGUGUAUGAGUUCGAAACAUGCAAGUGUCCUCUCAGCCACAUUUAGAUGUUUUGCCUUGUUGGUGAAACUUCCGUUGCCAUCUCUGAGGGACAAUGCAAUUACUAUAAAAAAUGUACUUAUGGAGAUUUUACAGAGAGCUGGAAACUCCAAUGGUCAUUUAGUCACAUCUUGUUUUAAGCUACUUGCUGAUCUACUUAGAGGAUUCAGGAUUUCACUUUCAGAUAAUGAGCUUCAGAUGCUUGUUCAUACCCCUAUGUUUGUAGAUCUUCAGACAAACCCUUCCCCUGUUGCCUUAUCGCUUCUCAAAACAAUAGUCAGGCUAAAAUUGGUUUCUCACGAAAUUUAUGAUAUAGUUGUUAAGAUAGGAGAGUUGAUGGUAACAACAUUAACUGAAUCUAUACAGCAGCAAUGCAUUCAAAUUAUGCUACAAUUUUUUCUGAACUAUCCACUUUCUGAGAAGCGCUUACAGCAACAUAUUGACUUUUUCCUGGCAAACUUAAGGUAUGAUGAAUAUCCAUAGUUACUUUAUCAUGAUAUCUCACUGUAUGCUAACACUCUGGAAAAUUGCAGUUAUGAACAUCCUUCAGGAAGAGAAGCAGUGCUUGAAAUGCUCCAUGACAUUCUUACCAGAUUUCCCCAGAGGAUUAUUGAUGAGCAGGGUCAAACCUUUUUUCUUCAUCUUGUAGUUGCUCUAGCCAAUGAACAGCAUCAGAAUGUGUCUUCAAUGAUCCUUAGAGCUAUUCAAAAGCUGUUAGGACGCAUUGGUGGUCAGGGAAAGAGUUACAUUUAUGAGUAUUCACUUUCGUGGUACACUGGUGAGAAGAAAAGUUUGUGGAGUGCUUCAGCUCAGGUUACCAUUUAGUAGCUUUGCUAUAUUUUUGCAUAUACUAAAAAAAGAUAUAUUGUACAUCAGCAGUGGACUGGGUUGGUGGUUGCAAUUUGCUUUUGCAUUUGGGUGUUAUUGAAGUACUUACUACUUAGCCCCUUUAUGCUUAUGUUUCAAAGUACUAUUGUCCUUUUACAUCAACUGUUGAAGUGGUUCUUGUGCUUUAUAGGUUAUUGGUUUACUUGUUGGCGAUCACACAUUACAAAUGGGCAAGCACCUUAAAAGUAUUCUGGCUGUUGUUAAGAAAAUAAUGGAAUCAUCUAUUAUUGCUUCUGGAGCUAUACAAUUAGGCUUAUCUGAUGAAGCUGCCCUGCCAUUGUGGAAAGAGACUUACUACUCUGUUGCCAUGAUGGAGAGGUUACUUCUUCGCUUUCCGGAGUUGUAUUUUGAGAAAAACAUGGAGGUAUGAUUACCUUCGUGCACUACUACUAUAUCAAAUUGCAGAUGUAUGUAUUUUGUUUUUUUAUCUAGAUCUUGCCAUGUGAGGGGCAGGCCUGGUGCAGUGGUGAGGGCUGUCUCACUGAGUCGCCAGGUCGUGGGUUUGAAGCAGUCUCCAUACAUUUGCUAGGGCAAGGCUUGUCUUGGUUUAUCCCUUUCUCAAACCCCACUUGCCAUGUCUGCCGUUUAUCUCGAUCUUGCCAUGUGAGAGCCUUUGACACAGAGUCUGUCCCCUAGAUCUUGCCAUGUCUUUUAUGUUGCUUUAUCUCAUGCCUCAGUUGCUUAAACGUAAGGCAAUAGUCAACCGUCACGCCUCGCUUUACUGCUUUGAUAAUGUUGUCAAACAAUCAUAUUCUUUAUCUCCAGCAUUUUUUUUGCUGCCAUGUCUUUUUACCAAUUUAAUGAGAUUUAUACUAGUUGACUCAAGUAUUCAAGGCACUUGUUGACCAUUUACUUAAGUAUUGGGGCCUCAGAUUUAUUUGUUCUUAAACAUAGUAUUUGUUUCAAGCCUUGAACUGGUCAUGUCGGUUGCAACAUCAAGUUUAUGACACCAAUUGUAAUUUGCAGGACAUAUGGAUAAUAUUAUGCAAGUUGUUGAUCCAUCCUCAUUCGAUGUUGCGUAGUAUUUCAAGCUCUCUGGUAGCAUCAUAUUUUGCUACAGUGGAGAAGAGGAAACAUGAACAGAAAUUGGAUGCCCCAUCAUGGUUGCUUGUUCAACCGAGCAGGCUAUUCAUAAUAGCUGUUUCCUUGUUGAAACAAUUGAGGAGUGAGCUGAGUGAUACUACGGCAAAUAAUCUGAUUGUACAGAAUGUUGCAUACUCAGUCUGCAACUUGCAUAUGUUGAUUAGGCAAUCGACCUCCACACAUCAGUUUUGGUCUAGCAUUAGUUCUGAUCGUGGUGCUUUCCUUGAGGGUUUUGAAUUGCUUGGUUCAAGAAAAGCAAAAAAUAUAUUUCUCCUUUGUACUUCAACAUCUAGUGAU